GGGAAUAUGGCUUAGUGGUAGAGUGCUUGUCUUGCAUGCAUGAAACCCUGAGUUAGAUUCCUCAGUGCCA
rnacentral:tRNA from 1 species